rnacentral:rRNA from 1 species
AACUUGAAGGAAUUGACGGAAGGGCACCACCAGGCGUGGAUGCUGCGGCUUAAUUUGACUCAACACGGGGAACCUUACGGGGUUUGGACACAGGUAGGAUUGACGGAUUGAAAGCUCUUUCUUGAUUCCGUGGAUGGUGGUGCAUGGCCGAUCUCAGCCCGUGGGUUGACUUGUCAGGUUCACUCCGGUAACGCGCGAGACCCCGACUUACCAAAUAGCGCACCCCGGCAUGCCGGGUGCGGUGCUUCUUGGAGGGACUUCCGGUGAGAGCCGGCUGAAGUCGGGGCAAUAUCAGGUCAGUGAUGCCCUUAGUUAUCCUCGGUUGCACGCGUCCUACAAUGUGGCGUCCAACGAGUUCUCCCCUCGCCCGAGAGGCUUUGGGUAAUCUGUGAAGAGUGCCACGUGACGGGGCUAGACUCUUGAUAUUCUUGGUCUUCAACGAGGAAUGCCUAGUAGUCGUGGGUCAGUAUCCCACGACGAUUACGUCCCUGCCCUUUGUACACACCGCCCGUCGCUGAUACUGAUGGCAGAACUGGCAAAACCGGGGGACGCAGCCCUUUUGUUGGGAGGCGGAACCCGCUGANCCACUUUGCUAGAAGAAUCAAAAGUCGUAACAAGGUCUCCGUUGGGGGAAACAGCGGAAGGNAUCAUU